rnacentral:sRNA from 1 species
UAUUGUCUAUCAAACGGUGAUGUCUAGC